rnacentral:rRNA from 1 species
UACGUAGGGUCCGAGCGUUGUCCGGAAUUAUUGGGCGUAAAGGGCUCGUAGGCGGUUUGUCGCGUCGGGAGUGAAAUCCACUGGCUUAACUGGUGGCUUGCUUUCGGUACGGGCAGACUGGAGGUAUGCAGGGGAGAACGGAAUUCCUGGUGUAGCGGUGAAAUGCGCAGAUAUCAGGAGGAACACCGGUGGCGAAGGCGGGUCUCUGGGCCGUUACUGACGCUGAGGAGCGAAAGCGUGGGGAGCGAACAGG